CUAAAACCGCCCUCAUAUAUUUGUUGGAACAUUUUUCAGCACAGUUGUCCCGUCCAGGCCCUGAUAUCAGGUGGCGAUUUGUCCAGGGUGUACCCCGCCUUCCGCCCGAUUGUAGCUGAGAUAGGCGCCAGCGACCCCAAAAGGGAAUAAGCGGUAGAAAAUGGAUGGAUGAAUGGAACUGUGUUCGGGAAAUAUUGUAUCACUAAAACUGCCCUCAUAUAUUUGUUGGAACAUUUUUCAGCACAGUUGUCCCGUCCAGGCCCUGCGAUGAGGUGGCGACUUGUCCAGUGUGUACACCGCCUUCCGCCCUAUUGUAGCUGAGAUAGGCGCCAGCAACCCAAAAAGGAAAUAAGCGUACAGUUGUCCCGUCCAGGCCUUGCGAUGAGGUGGCGACUUGUCCAGGGGUGUACACCGCCUUCCGCCCGAUUGUAGCUGAGAUAGGCGCCAGCGACCACAAAUGGGAAUAAGCGCACAGUUGUCCCGUCCAGGCCCUGCGAUGAGGUAGCGACUUGUCCGCGGUGUACACCGACUUCCGCCCGAUUGUAGCUGAGAUAGGCGCCAGCGACACCAAAAGGGAAUACGCGG